rnacentral:piRNA from 1 species
UCUGACUACCUUGUUAUGACUAUGACUAC